rnacentral:rRNA from 1 species
AGGACGAACGCUGGCGGCGUGCUUAACACAUGCAAGUCGAACGGAACACCCUUGACAGAGGUUUCGGCCAAUGAAGAGGAAUGUUUAGUGGCGGACUGGUGAGUAACGCGUGAGGAACCUGCCUUUCAGAGGGGGACAACAGUUGGAAACGACUGCUAAUACCGCAUGAAGCAACGAGGGGACAUCCCCUUGCUGUCAAAGAUUUAUCGCUGAAAGAUGGCCUCGCGUCUGAUUAGCUAGUUGUGGGGUAACGGCCCACCAAGGCGACGAUCAGUAGCCGGACUGAGAGGUUGACCGGCCACAUUGGGACUGAGAUACGGCCCAGACUCCUACGGGAGGCAGCAGUGGGGAAUAUUGGGCAAUGGACGCAAGUCUGACCCAGCAACGCCGCGUGAAGGAAGAAGGCUUUCGGGUUGUAAACUUCUUUUAACAGGGAAGAGAAGAAGACGGUACCUGUUGAAUAAGCCACGGCUAACUACGUGCCAGCCGCGGC